rnacentral:lncRNA from 1 species
GGAGGGAGAGCGUCCACGAGCGCUAGGGGGCCUGGUCUUUCUGGGAGGUUCCAGUUCUCCCUCCGGAGGGCCAGUCCAGGCCUCUUCUCAUAAUAUCGCCUUCAUCAGGCUUCCUGGUGUUGCUAGUACUGGGUCGCCCUCACGCCUUACACUGCGGGAACAAAGGACAGAGAAUCACCUCUUCCGAGAACGCGAGGACUGGGUCUUCUACCAGAGAGGCUCUGGCAAGCAGCAGCAGCAGCGGCAGCGGCAGCGGUGGCGACACUUACAGCCUCUCAUUGCGCACUGCGGAGCGCGCUCAGCUAUGUUGGCGGUCAGCUAGCAUGUUGGCCCGAAGCAAUAGCACGCUCCACUUGAAUUUGCAAGCUUUCUCCACAGUUUUGGGACCCCAGAAAAGCCCGGGCGCCCAGCCCCCGUGCCUCCCCCCGGCAAUCCAAGGCGUCGGCAAUUGGCUCUUUGUUUUUGGCUGCGUAUGAUCCCCCAAUGCCGCAGUAUCAGCUUCGUUUCAGGGGAGGCCGCAGCAGCCGCCUGCGAAGUACCCUCACUAGGGGCGUGUAGCAAUCGAACCAGCCAGCCAGCUUAAGGCUAAGGAUGUGGACAGGCCACAUAGACCAGUGUGCUGCUGCAGUUGGCACGGCGGUCACGUACAAUACGCGAGCUAGUCGUGCUCUGCGUUGCGUUGCGUUGCUGCCGCGCCACAGAAUCCUGCAAAGCCAAGCUGCUGCUCCACUCGCUUCGUCUCGAAUCUCACAGCUAGUCGGGCGGGAAUAGGAUAGUUCCUGUUAUUGUUUUGAAUAAUGUUAUG